rnacentral:snoRNA from 1 species
AGUACCUGUGUUUGUUUUUGUUUAAUCUGUAGAUGAAGACUUACAGACAGGUGCAAAAAAGUAAAUCCUCUUUUGCAACCCAGAACUCAUGGUUCAGUAUGAGUUUGGAUACAUAUAAGAAGGAACAUG